rnacentral:rRNA from 1 species
GGGUGUGAUCAUACCAGCGUUAAUGCACCGGAUCCCAUCAGAACUCUGUAGUUAAGCACGCUUGGGAUGGGUGACCUCCCGGAAAGUCCUAGUGUUGCACCCU